ACUCAAAUUGCUAUUCACUGUCACUUUACUUGUUAAAGGAAAAAAAUAAAGACUGUUUCCAUGAGCCACAGGUAAAUUAAAUUUAAAUCAGUUCUAUGAUUAAGUUCUUGGAGAGAAACUGACUGUAGCAGCUUGUAUAUGCUCAUAUUUGUGGAAAGUCUACCUUCAAAUCAGAAAUAUGUCAACAUUAUUUUAGUGACAUGUUUUCCUUUUGAAAAGUUUCAUUUUUGUCAAAGUGAGUAAUAUAGAGAAACCUAAUAAAUGGAUUAAUUUAGGUCAUUAUUUGGGGAAAAUAGAUGUACUCUUUCACAUUAUGUUUCUCUGUGAGUUAUCACCCAUUUGUCUUUCCAAGGACAUGUUCUUCCUUCCACUAUUUACUUUUAAUUUCAAAGGAGAAAAAUAAUGGGUAAUGGGGGUUUUGAAUUAUUAUUUCACUUGAAAUGCUGAGACAGUAAUGAAAUAAAAUAUCCUAUGCAUCCUUCAAAAGCCAGACACUUGCUAUUGAAGGGGAAAUAAUUCCUCCCCCCAGGCCCUGUUCCACCCCAAAAAAGAAGAGAGAGAAAAAGAGAACAGGUGCAGUUAAUGGGCCAGACUAAAGUAUCAUGGGAGAUUUUCAAAGCCACAGAUCAAUUUAGCUGCACCACUUCCGAGGAAAAUAAAUGAGUGCUGUUUACUUGGGUUUUCUGCAGUUUGAAAUUAUCCUCUCCAAUGUAGGCUUUGGGGGAAAGUCUACUUGAAAUAAUUGCAGCCAUUUGGAAUUGACAUGGCAGCACCACCUCACAUGACAGGGGCGAAUGCCACUCACUCAUACACAGAUUUUCCAUAGACAACCAGAAGAGCAGAGAAUAUUGCCAAGCAUUGCCCGGGAAAAGCAGGAAUAGCCUUGCCUUACAAUUCCAUGCUUGAUUUUGCUACUUUUUCAAAAUUGUCUCAGAGUGGGGAACAAAGUCUGGGCAUUUGUCUCAGGCAGGCAAUUUUAUGUCUUCUUUUCCUUUGGUUUUAGCAGAACCUUUCUUCCUAUCUACACUCCCUGUUGUAUUUGUUUAUCUUAAAUUGUCCUAGAAAUUAUGAGUUUAUGAAAAUGUAACAUGUAUCUUGACUCUAUGAAAUUAAUAAAUUACUAAUUAAGUCUUUCAAUCCCACAUACCCCUGCUCCAAAUAUAUAUAUACACUUAGAUACAUAUGUUGAAUCUAUUAAAAAAAAGCUGUCAGGAACUUUGGAAUUAUACAAAAAAUUAGACAAAAUGGUACAUUUAGUACACCAUCUGCUUUAUUAAUGGGUAACUUACUCAUCUCUGGACCUACAUCACACUUUGUGCUGAUCCAAACACACACCCAAUUAAAUUAAAGGGAUUUUAUCUGUGAUCUUAUUUUAAAACCUUAGUUCUUUGCAAGGUCUACCAUUUUGUAAAGUCACUGUGGAAACACUGUUUAUUGAAGUGCUAAUGGCUUAUCCUAAUUUCCAUAAGGGAGCUUUUUUCCUUCAUGCAUUCUAACUUUAGUUGACCAUCAUCUUGUUUUAUAGUCAGUAUUUAAAAAUUGUUUUGGCAAAGUGGCUGAGUAAUCAAAAAUGCAAAUUACCUUUCUUGGACCAUUUUUUCCUUAUUUUUAUUUUUCAUGAAAUAUCUUUCAUGUUUUUUUCCUUACGUUCACCUAGUGCAGGUAAAUUCAAAGCAAGAACCACAUUAUUUCUUUUAUUCCAAUGACUCACUUCAGUUAGGAACAAAUUCUUUUGUGUUUGCUCUUCCUUCUAAGAUAAUAUCAUACACUAAAUUCCAACAUAUUUAAUCUUUUAAUGCAAAAUCAUAGAAAAAAAGAAUUAUUGAAAAUAACACAUAGGUAAUGGAGCAAGCUACUGUAGAGUCAUCUUCAGGUCUGGAUUCAUCUGUCUGUUUUUCUACAGAUUGGGGGGAUUUUUUUUUUCUACAUUUUUUUUUAAGACAGUUUUUAAUGCUUGAACAAAUCCCUUUUUCUUCCCUUUGGUAAUGUGGUUAACUGUCUGGAAUGUGAGCCACUGGAAAUUCUUCUCCACAGAAGAAUCUCCAUUAAGCUUUCAAACAGAGUUACUUCAUCCCCACAGCUGCAUGGAUAGAAGGCUUUCUAGCGCCUAAAUACUUACUGUAUAUGUCAUCCUUAAAUUUAUUUUUUUUUUUUUUCCCAGCCAGAGCUUUGGGAGCAGGUGUUAGCCUUUUGCUUCCUUUCUGCUUCCUCUGUGGGGAACGGGCUGGAAAGAGCCAACUAAUUAGAAAAUUCUACAGGGAAAUUAAUUCUGCAAACAGCUGAGGAAUGGCAUUUCAGUAUAAUGCUCACUUUGUCUGUCAGCAGAGCACUGGCUGGCUUCACGAGUGGCAGCUCUCCCAGAUGUUAAACAUGUUGUGAUGAGACCAGAACUGCAUCAUAUGUUGCCCGUUUACUAAAAGUCAUGGUGCUCUGGAAGAGUAAAUACAUUAAAACCAGCCUCUGGGACGUGCUGUGUUGUGUCACAAGGCAGCAGCAUAGGUUUUUUUACAUAUUCUUGAAGUGUAGCAAUGAACCAAAUCGUUUUUAGCCAGCUUAGUUCUGAAUGCUGCCUUUGCUUUCAUGUAGGGCUGGGGGCAUGGAGAAGGAGGGGCAAGGAGCCUCACUAAACCACCCUGUGUAAAGGCCUGGGUUGUCAAAGCCUGCUGUACACUUUGAAAAGAGCUGGGCAGCUCUGUGACAUGUCUGAGCAGAGCCCUCACUCACCCAGCUGGCUGCUCUCGUGCGCGUGGGGAGAGUCGGAUCCGCAUCCGUGGGCUUCCUGCUCCGGAGGCACCGGCGGCAGAAACACGCGGGCAGGGCUCUCUGAAGGAGCCUGUUCCGAGAUGUGCAUGGGAACAGCACCGAGUGAAGAUGAUGACAGACUACUCAUGUCCCAGAGGUCUCACCAGUACCUGCUUUGGUCACCUUAGUAUUUCUUACUUGUGGGCAAAGCCCCAAGCCACUUGCAUUACCUUAUGUGAUGUGCCUGGUUCUCAGUGCCCUUCUCGUGACAGACCUCUGUGACCCUCCAGCCCAGUGCUCCUCCCAGCCACAUUCCUCAUCUGUCCCUUCCAGAGCCCCCAAGUUUCCCUCCAGCUAACCUUGAGGAGCAGAAUUCCCAUGCACGUUGCUCCCAGAUUGACGUGGCAUCCCUUCCAUGAGCUGCCAGGAGGUGGCCCUGGGCUCUGUUUUAGCAUUCAGCUAUGCACGAGUGGCCCUCACGCUCCACAUGUCUGGGAAUUUGCCCUGGAUGGAACACUGGAAGAGUGACUUCUGAGUUCCCAUUGAGUAAAUACAGAACUGCUUUCUUAUCUUUUAAAUCUCAACAUGAUGUUGAAGCUUGGGGUGCUCUGAACACCUCUUUGUGGUGGUUCAUUUUUCAGGUGUCUUACCCUGCCUCAGUGGCUCUUGUACUCUUGAGCUCUCUUUUCUACUUUACCUCUAUAUCUAAAUGCUUUUCCUUCCUCUGUCUCCUAAGAACUAAUUUGUCUUAUCUAAGAAUAUAAAAAAUAGGACAUUCAUGCAAUUCCCAUGGAGAUAUGGUAUUUUUCUGCAGCUGAAGGCUUUCCAAAGCAUGUUUAUUUGUCUUAUAUUUGAUUGACUGUAGCAGGACUAGGUUUUUUUUUUUUCUUUUAUUUAUUUUUUUUUUAUUUCCAUUGUCUUGUACUUCACAAAUGCAGUAUAAUAAUCAUUCCAUAUUCUGUCUCAAUGGAAAAUCUCAUCACUCCAUAUUUUCUUAUCAGUCUGUUCUCUCCAGCAUAACUACAUUGCUUGAUAUGUUGCACAGUGUCGGGUUCAAGGACUGUUUUUAAUGGAAAAAUAUUAAUAUCUUUUCACUAGUCCAGUGUUAACAUGUAGAUGUUUUUUGAGAAUUAUUUGGUUAUAAACUUUAUUUAAAUAGAACCUUGUAAUUUUGGCCAUGCUUAUGUUGAUAUGUGAUUAUCUUCCAGCACAAAGAACUAACUAUAGGGCUUUGACUUGGAAAGAGUCAUUUUCACAGAUGAGGAUCAUGCUUGCAGAAGAAAAUAAUAGGAUUUCAUCUUUGUCUUUAAUAAAAAUCAAGCUAUUUUCUAUAUUUUCUAAAUUUACUUCAUCUGUUAACAAUUACAAUUUUCAUAAUGAGAUUUAAUUGCUUAAGAAACCAUUGAAAUUAUAUCCCAACUAAAUAUUAACAUCUUCUCCUCUUCUAAUUCACAAUUUGAAAACAUUCUUUGCAUCUUUUACUUGCUUUCUAUAGAUGUGUGCAUUAACAAAUUGGAAGGACUAUCCAUCAAAAAACAUCUAUCUCCAAAAGAGAUGUGCAUGGACUUUUGGAUGGGAGCAACUGGAAUUUAAAGUCUCUUUGCUCUAAUGUCACACACAGAAGAUUUAUUCUGCAGUCACAUUUUCUGAAUUAAUUGAAUUUUUAAUUUUGUGGUCCUAAAUGCAUCACUGCCUGGCAGUUUUCCAAAGUGCAUUGUGAUAUAAUGAUGCCUGCAUUAUGGAAGCUUGUCAAGUGGUCCGUGCUUAACAUGGGGACCUGUCUGCACUUAAAACAAGAACCAAAUGAAAUUAUUAAAUAUUAUUAUCACAUAUUCUUCCCAGAAUCACAUUUUUUAUUAGGGUGUGAUGAAUAAUUGCAGGAACAUUGGCAGCUGAAAUUUCUAAAGUGAUUGUCAAAUAGGAAAUAAAAUGGAAAAUGGGAAAUAAAAUGUGCUAUUUAUUGCAGGUCAAGAUAGAUUGCCUUUAAAUUCUACCUAGAUAAAAGUUCUUAGUGAUUUAAUUUUCUGUUUAGUAUCAUCCAGAUGUUCAAACUACUGACCCAGGUGGUGUGGAAAUUUCAUUUUUCCAGCUUAUGAUAGUGAAUUGAAUAAUAAAAAACAAUCAUAAAACAUCUCCAUAUUGCAUCCAUGGAGAUUCACUAGGAUGAUUUACACUAAAUGGAUUUUUACAUGGAAUGGGUUUCUUUUCCAAAGUUCAGCAAGAGUCAAGACUACAUCCGUACGUGUUUAGGAGCCAAAAAUUGUAAGUAAAGGAGAAAACACAUCUGUGUGUGGAAGUUUUUGAAUAAUUGCACUGUUUGUUUAAUGAUAUAGCUGAUGUUAUGAGUGCUCCUGGGGAGAACAGCAGAGCUGGAGCAGCAGGGAUAAGGAUGUUUUCCUUCAGGGAAAUGUGAAAUGCUUUGUUUUGUCCUAGUGUAUUCAAGAGAACUGCAUUUCCAUUUUGGCUUCAAGAGAUCUCCCCUUUUAAAAAGUGAAAUUCUCUUUCACAAAAUAAGGCUGGUUUAAGAAAUUAAAACUUUUAUUUAUUUACUUAUUUACACUUCAAAGCAAAGUAGUUUGCUCACCCAUUUUGGGAACAACUCUGCUUGCUGAAGCUGAUUGGAAUUUGCAAAGGGUUUUAGUAAGUCCAGGAUUUCAUUUUUCAGCCAAUUUUGUAUUCAUCAAGUAAUUUCAUUCAUCUCUAGCUAUGAUGUUUCGGUUGCAAGUUUGUUGGGUUUUUUAAUGUGUGUUUACCACCCAUAUUGCUAGAGUUAAUAAAUAAACACAAAUUGAUUUAUGACUUGUUUUGCUUGGACAAGUUUGUGAAUAGAAAUGUUGUAUAGCAUUUAAUUAAAUUCUUUCUUUCCUCCAAGGAUGCCACUAUCCAAAACAAAUUGAAAAUUUUGUUCAGAAAUUGUGCUCACACUCUGUAGCAUAAUGGAUACUCAUGAGAUAAACUGACAUCUGGGGUAGAUCUUCAUAAGAAUGGUUUCCAAAGUUCAGAAUGGAAACUUUUAAAUUUUCAAGCUGUCCUUAAGUUAUAAUAUAUGCCUGGCUUAGUAUUGCAUUUUAGUAUUUACAUAAAUUCUGUGUUUUGAAUAACAGAUGCACCUCAGCAGAUUGUAAACCUUUUCUUGAUACAUUUUGGCAGCAGCUGCAGGUCACAUCCCUUGCUGAAUUUCUAGAUUGUUCACCAAGGUCAACAUUCAUCAAGCAUUUUUUCUACUACACUUUAAAGAUUUUCCUCUCUCUGCUCUGGAAAUGCAAGUGUUAUUCUUUUCUCUGAAAUCCCACUAAUUUGUUAUUUGUAGGCAUGGCUUGGAGAGGAAGGAGGGAUGAGAAGACAGUGGGAGUGAGUCAUUAUUUUAUUGUAGUGACACUCUGGUGUUAUUCCAGCCAGUCACUUUUACCCCAUAGCUGCUGACUGCAGUGCUAUCCAUGGCAGAUGCUCAGAAAUGAAAAGCUACAUCUUUUUUUUGCUGCUGGUUAAUGUGAUGUAGCACAGAUGAGAAAUUAGGUUUAUAUAUUUACACCAACUUUAUCCUCUGACCAAAGAAUCUGACAGUUUAAAGCUGUGCCACUCUCCCAAAGGUGUGUGCAGGUUGGACAUGUGUCCAUCCUAUAUAUCAACAGUAUCCAGAAAUACAGGAACCUAACUGUGCUGAGGAUUCAUGUAAAGAUGUUAUUUAAACACCUGUAUUUUGUGGCCAGAAAAGCAUUCUGUUAAACUCACCUGAGGGUCUGCUGCCUCCAUAAGAGGAAUGUGUUGGAAUGGAUAAGGGGACCAGGUCAUGUCCCUCAUGUCUGAAAGAAAAAAAGUAAUGGCAUAUGAAUAAAAAACCAGAUAUUUUCAGAAAAGACCUUGAUAUUUUGGUCCUAAUUCAAUAAAUAUUUUUUUUACAUUCACAAAUACAUUAGGCCAGUGCUGGCUUCUUCUGGAAUUCCACCCUUAACACCAGCCUUCUUAAGGGCCAACCUGCUUGCCUUCUUUCCAAUGCUGAAAAAAUCCCUGAACUCUUGGCCCCUCAGCCCCAAAACAGAAGAAAAGAGGAUAGUUUGUGGUUUUUUAUUUGACAGUUUGGGGAUUUUUUUGGUAGGCCAUCUAGAAAAAAAUUCAAGCGGAAAUUAUAUGAACAUAAAAUUGUUUUUGACACAUUUGGCAAAUAGUAAUGUUUUUAAGAAGCCUGCUCUGAACCCUGUUGGGUAAGCAGCCACUUGCUCAGCUUGAGUAAAAGGAUUUCUUGCCAGAAAGCAGAAAGAAAAGAUCACCAGCUGGGGAUUCAUCCUUUCCACUCAUAUUUUCUUUGCCUGUGACUCCCAAAGUAUUUGGGGAAAUGGCAAUGUUGUUGUACUUUUACAACCAAAGCACAGGAGAUUAAAGUGAAGAUAUGAAAACACAAAUGCUUGAAAAGUUACAUUCCUGGAAAAGAGAGACACAGAGGAGCUGACAGAGAAAGCUGAUGCUCAGGAGUACCCUAAGAACCUUCAGAGGGCUGAUAUUUAUGGAAAACAAAGCACUUUCUUAGGAGUCUAAAUUACACACUAAGCAAUGGCCCCAAACUUUUAUUACAUUCUAGGAAAAGAUCAGGAAAAAGAACAUAAAAUACUCAGAGUUAUCUGUACUAAAUAUUAGACUGUAUAUUAUAUCCUGUCUUUAAUGUUGUGGAGAAAACCCGAAUGGUCUGAAUUACUAUCAUUUUUUAAAAACUAGAAACAUAAUCUGGGAAGAGGUUUUUAUGCUGGGCUGCUUUUUAGCUGGGUUGUUUCUGAGGAAUUAAAAAGAGCUGAAAAUCUCAUAUUUGGCAUUGCAUAAUCAAUGGUUCAAUGACUGACCAAAUACCCAUCAUUCUCUUCCAUUCAUUAGAUUAUGCCAUACACAGUCAGGUGGCAUUUGUCCAGAAGCUGACAUGUCCUUUCAUUGCUAAAAAACUUGGUUUGGAAUGGAAUGGAGUCAAGCACAGGAAGGAAAUGAUUAUGGAAACUGUAAGAAUUUGAGACCUCAGCUAUCUUCAGACACAGCAAAACAUUUCCUCCUGUUAUCGGCAGUCAUAAAAACGUAGAGAUGUUGCAACCCAAGUACCCAAGUGAAGGCAAAGCUCCAUCUGAGAAUGCCUUGGGUUCCAGAAGGUUCAGGUUCACAGCAUGAACUUAGAGACUGGCUGUUGAGAAGACACUGGCUGGGUAACUGAAAGCUCAGAAAAGAUGCUGCAGGAAGACUUUAAAACAAGAAUAAAUAUGGAAGUUGUUCCAGAGGGUGGGACAGGUCUUCUGUUUGUCUGGUACUAGAGGCACUUUUGUGGGUAUGUGAUUUGUCAGCGUUAUAAAAUGAUGGAAUCAUAAUGGCCUUAUCCAUCUCCUACCAAGAAAUUAGCAGCACUAAUAAACUUAAUCCUCAGUGCUCUCAUAACAGUAUUUCCAAGGGCUGUUUCAGAAAAUAUAAACACAUUAAAGAAUAGCCAGAAACCCAAUCUGCUCAGCAAUCACUGAUUUCUCAGUUGUGUGUUGAAGACAUAGCAACCCAAAUUACCCUUGAAAUGACUCUAUUUAUUUCAAGUCAUACCCUUUUCCCAGCUGUAUUUUUAGACAACUUCAUACUAGUAGUACAAGAGCUUGUUCCAGACAAGGACUUAACUUAGGUUUAUGUUAACAUAUAAUUUGUAAAAGUUUGCAAUAAACAUCCUUCUCUGACACUGGCAGAAACUGUAGGAAGGAAAACACCGCCACUAACUUUGGCUACUUGCUUUGAUUCAAACCUCAUUGUGUGAUGUUUGUUAUGAGAGCUCCAAAACUGCACAGAAGUGAUGAAUUGUUGUGUCACUGAGACCAGAAUUUCCAAAGCAGCCUCGUCUUUUUAGAUUUUGGCUUCCAACAAAAAUAUUCACCAGAGGCCUGGUGUUGGAUCGGGAAGUGUGCUAGCAGGCUUUCAUUCAGAUAGCAAGAAAUAUGCAAUGCAUGAUUCAAGACCUUAGGCCUCAGCUGGCAUCCCAUAAUGCACUCCCUGAAGCUGAUGAAAUGUUAGGGUGUACAGGAAGUGCCAGCUGAAGUCUUACAAAUAAACACUUAGUGAAUAUUUAUGUAGAUACGGUAAACAGAAAAGGAAAGUGCCAGUGUGCACAUGCUGCUGGUCACUCUGAAACUGCUGCUCUGCACAGGCCAGUUUUUAUAUCCUUCAAAAUAACAGGACCAUCAUUAUUUUUCCAAUGCUGAGUGAGUUUCCCCUCUGUUAAUCACACAGAGUAAAAGCAGGUCUGUAAUCUCAGUUCAGCUGCAUUUGGAAACAAGUCUUGUUUGUAAAGAUGGAAGGAAACUAGGCAGGAAUCUAUUUCUCUGCAGAGGCAUUCAGUUUUUCCAUGGUCAGUCUUUUCUCCACACUGACCAGAUUCUCUGCACUGGGUAAAGUUUUGGAUUCCUUUAAAAUACCUGUUUAUCAUUGAUACAAUUCAGGAUGCAUCAAUGACUUUGAAAGGGUGUUCUAGAAACUGCUGUGAUAUUGCAGUCUGUGUGUGUUCUGUUUUAUUAUUUAAAUCAUGCAGUUGUUCUGGUCAAAAUUGCUUGUGAUGUUCUUUGAGACAUUGAGCAAGCUCAUAAUGGGAAAAUCCAUUUCUCUGAAAUGCCAGCACUUUAAAUAAUUUAAAGCUAUUCUCCUGUUCUAUCAAAAGGAAGUUUAAUCUAUUACUUAUCUGUUCAGGAAGAUACUGUUCAAAGGUAUUGGACUAUCUUGAAUUAAGAAGGAAAAAAAGUUGUUGGAAUAAAUUAAACAUUUCCAUAUAAUAAAUGGUGGCAAUUUAAUAAUUAGUGAGAAGCCUUGUGUUUAUAGAUUUUUUGUAACAUGGCAUAUGAAUAAUGAAAACAGAAGGUUGUUUAUUCAGCAUAUAAAAGCCAAUUUUAGAGGAAUAACAGAUGGUGAAUGCCAGAGCCAGAAGAGAGUGAAUAAUUUUUAAA